GGGCUAUGCGGCAGGCUACCAUGCACGUCGAGCGGAUGAAGAGAGCUUGCUCUCUGAUUCAGCGGCGGACGGGUGAGUAAUGCCUAGGAAUCUGCCUGGUAGUGGGGGACAACGUCUCGAAAGGGACGCUAAUACCGCAUACGUCCUACGGGAGAAAGCAGGGGACCUUCGGGCCUUGCGCUAUCAGAUGAGCCUAGGUCGGAUUAGCUAGUUGGUGAGGUAAUGGCUCACCAAGGCGACGAUCCGUAACUGGUCUGAGAGGAUGAUCAGUCACACUGGAACUGAGACACGGUCCAGACUCCUACGGGAGGCAGCAGUGGGGAAUAUUGGACAAUGGGCGAAAGCCUGAUCCAGCCAUGCCGCGUGUGUGAAGAAGGUCUUCGGAUUGUAAAGCACUUUAAGUUGGGAGGAAGGGCAGUAACUUAAUACGUUGCUGUUUUGACGUUACCGACAGAAUAAGCACCGGCUAACUCUGUGCCAGCAGCCGCGGUAAUACAGAGGGUGCAAGCGUUAAUCGGAAUUACUGGGCGUAAAGCGCGCGUAGGUGGUUUGUUAAGUUGGAUGUGAAAGCCCCGGGCUCAACCUGGGAACUGCAUUCAAAACUGACAAGCUAGAGUAUGGUAGAGGGUGGUGGAAUUUCCUGUGUAGCGGUGAAAUGCGUAGAUAUAGGAAGGAACACCAGUGGCGAAGGCGACCACCUGGACUGAUACUGACACUGAGGUGCGAAAGCGUGGGGAGCAAACAGGAUUAGAUACCCUGGUAGUCCACGCCGUAAACGAUGUCAACUAGCCGUUGGGAGCCUUGAGCUCUUAGUGGCGCAGCUAACGCAUUAAGUUGACCGCCUGGGGAGUACGGCCGCAAGGUUAAAACUCAAAUGAAUUGACGGGGGCCCGCACAAGCGGUGGAGCAUGUGGUUUAAUUCGAAGCAACCCCGAAGAACCUUACCAGGCCUUGACAUCCAAUGAACUUUCCCGAGAUGGAUUGGUGCCUUCGGGAACAUUGAAACAGGUGCUGCAUGGCUUUCCUCAACUCCGGGCCUGGGAAUGUUGGGUUAAAUCCCGUAACCAGCGCAACCCUUUGUCCUUAAUUACCAACAAGUAAUGGUGGGCACUCUAAAGGAACUGCCGGGACAAACCCGAAGAAGGGGGGAUAACCUCAAGCCUUCGGGGCCUUACGGCCGGGGUAACACCUGGCUAAAAUGGGGGGACCAAAGGUGGCCACCCCCGAGGGGGACUUAUCCUAAAAACCAAUUGAUUCCGAUACAACUUCGAAU
rnacentral:rRNA from 1 species